UACGUAGGGGGCAAGCGUUGUCCGGAUUUAUUGGGCGUAAAGGGCGCGUAGGCGGCCUGGCAAGUGGAAGGUGAAAUCCCUCGGCUUAACCGAGGAACUGCCUUCCAAACUGCUUGGCUUGAGUCCGGGAGAGGUGAGUGGAAUUCCCAGUGUAGCGGUGAAAUGCGUAGAUAUCGGGAGGAACACCAGUGGCGAAGGCGGCAUCCUGGCCCUGUCCUGACGCUCAGGGGCGAAAGCGUGGGGAGCAAACCGG
rnacentral:rRNA from 1 species